AGUGAACGCUGGCGGCAUGCUUAACACAUGCAAGUUGCACGAGGGGCAACCCCUACGUGGCGGACGGGUGGAGUAACGCGUAGGUAUCUGUCCUGGGUGGGGGAGUAACAGCGGGAAACGUGCUGCUAAUACCGCAUGACACCUGAGGGUCGAAAGGCGCGAGUCGCCUUGGGAGGAGCCUGCGUCCGAUUAGCUAGUUGGUGGGGUAAAGGCCUACCAAGGCGACGAUCGGUAGCUGGUCUGAGAGGAUGAUCAGCCACAUUGGGACUGAGACACGGCCCAAACUCCUACGGGAGGCAGCAGUGGGAAGUAUUGGACAAUAGGGCGGAAAGACCUGAUCCAGCAAUGCCGCGUGGAUGAAGAA
rnacentral:rRNA from 1 species